GGCAAAAGAGAAUCGGGCACGGGAUUUGGAUUCGGCUCGGCCAGGCACUUAGAUACAGUCAAACCCUAAUCCUUCUGAAAAGGCGAGAUCCUGGCCAAAUAGUGAAACAAAUCCUAGAUUUGGUGCAUCACUAACAAAAUCAAACUAAAAAAUACAAAAUAGUAGGUCUAACUAGAUGUUCCCCAGGGCCUUUGCAUGCAGUACCAGCACCAGAUUCACUUUGAUGAGAGAAACAUCCUAAUUGCUUAUUUGCCCAUAGACUUCAGUUGCGUUUUCAUGUGAUAAACCAUGAGCUACGUCUUGGAAUCAGUGGUGAUUUAAUAAUAUCUUGGGCCCCUAGGCUACUAUCACACAGGGCCUGCUUUCUGGGCUACUGCUGGGUCCAUAUGGGUGCAGAUCCAGGCAUGUGUGCAGCCAAGCUCUUUAUGCUGGUUCAGUUCUAUUCUGGGUUGGGUGCUUUGCCUGUUUUCUUCUCCCAGCAGACCCAUCAGCCAGACCCAGAAGCGCAAAUAAAAAUUAAUAGAAAAAGAAAAUAGAAAUAAUAAUUGAAAAAAAGCUGAUGGGUCCCAGAUCACACAGAGCCCCUACUAUAGUCUAGGGUAGUCUGUGCAUUAAUCUGCCCCUGGUUGGAAUUGAAUAUAGCCCAGGGAUUACAGUCUCUUGCACAAGACUGACAUUUAUGGGUUGUGGUGAGGUCACAACUAGGAUACCUGGGAAAGUCCAGGACGGAGCUUAUUUAUGUCCCAGGUUCCUAACAGAGCGGUUUCAGGACUGGUAGUCCAGCCCAGGUGUUUUGUGUUUUCCUGAGUCAUCUCAGGUUGAUAAUUAAAAAGGCAGCUCAAGCCAGAAUGGAGAACUCCAGUCUGGGGAAAGACACAAAAAAGCUGCCUGUGUGAGCUCACUGAGAGGAUUGAGAUACUAAAUACCAGUUACGGUAGCUGUUUUUUGAAUUUCACGGAACUCCUGCCGUAAUAUUCAGAAUACUUCCAAUUCCAGGAUAAUCAACAGGACCUGGGAGAGAGCAGAAAGGCAAGGGUUGUCUUGGUAAGGU